rnacentral:rRNA from 1 species
ACGGGUGAGUAAUGUCUGGGAAACUGCCCGAUGGAGGGGGGUAACUACUGGAAACGGUAGCUAAUACCGCAUAACGUCGCAAGACCAAAGUGGGGGACCUUCGGGCCUCACACCAUCGGAUGUGCCCAGAUGGGAUUAGCUAGUAGGUGGGGUAAUGGCUCACCUAGGCGACGAUCCCUAGCUGGUCUGAGAGGAUGACCAGCCACACUGGAACUGAGACACGGUCCAGACUCCUACGGGAGGCAGCAGUGGGGAAUAUUGCACAAUGGGCGCAAGCCUGAUGCAGCCAUGCCGCGUGUAUGAAGAAGGCCUUCGGGUUGUAAAGUACUUUCAGCGGGGAGGAAGGCGGUGAAGUUAAUAGCUUCACCGAUUGACGUUACCCGCAGAAGAAGCACCGGCUAACUCCGUGCCAGCAGCCGCGGUAAUACGGAGGGUGCAAGCGUUAAUCGGAAUUACUGGGCGUAAAGCGCACGCAGGCGGUCUGUCAAGUCGGAUGUGAAAUCCCCGGGCUUAACCUGGGAACUGCAUUCGAAACUGGCAGGCUGGAGUCUUGUAGAGGGGGGUAGAAUUCCAGGUGUAGC